rnacentral:rRNA from 1 species
GCCUAACACAUGCAAGUCGAACGGAACUCUUUGGAUCAAGGCUUCGGCCAAGUGAAUUUGAGUUUAGUGGCGAACGGGUGAGUAACGCGUGAGCAACCUGCCUUUCAGAGGGGGACAACAGUUGGAAACGACUGCUAAUACCGCAUAACACAUUUAGGGGGCAUCCCCUGAAUGUCAAAGAUUUAUCGCUGAAAGAUGGGCUCGCGUCUGAUUAGCUAGUUGGUGGGGUAACGGCCCACCAAGGCGACGAUCAGUAGCCGGACUGAGAGGUUGAACGGCCACAUUGGGACUGAGAUACGGCCCAGACUCCUACGGGAGGCAGCAGUGGGGAAUAUUGGGCAAUGGGGGCAACCCUGACCCAGCAACGCCGCGUGAAGGAAGAAGGCUUUCGGGUUGUAAACUUCUUUUACCAGGGACGAAGACGUGACGGUACCUGGAGAAAAAGCCACGGCUAACUACGUGCCAGCAGCCGCGGUAAUAC